ensembl:miRNA Gm25111 predicted gene, 25111
AAUGCAAAAUGCAGACAACUUAACUUUCAGCUUCUCUACAAAUAAUGUGUUUGUAUCAGAAUGUCCCAUACUUCAAUUGGGACACACUUAUACUAAAAUGUUAACUGAUUACUUGGAAUUGAAAUUUACCUGGGAAUCCUGUAUUUU